AGAAAAACCCUAGCCUAUUCCAUUUCCGUCCGCAUCCCUGCUGCCGCCGCUGUCCUCCCAAUUCCCUCUGCCCCUGCUGCUUCACUCCACCUUUCCCUCCUCCACGCCGUCAGGGGCGCCCCUCAAGCUCCACCUCAUCGGUUCCCCACCCCGGGCUCCGCCUCCCCCGCCCAUGCUGCUCUCUGUGCGCGGAGGUUGGACGGAGGAGGAGGAUCAGGAUGGCCGCAGGGAUGGCGGAGCAGGUAGAGCCGUUCACACCGCAGCCGUCGUCGUCCUCGCAUUCUCCCCCACGCACGCGGCCUCCUCUCGAUCCGCACGCCAACGCAGCCGCCGACUCCUCUGCUCCUUUCUCUCAGCGUCGCCAGAUCGGGGGAGCCACCGGGAGGAUAUCAGAGAGGCCACGACCGGGGUAGAAGCAGCAUCAUCGACCAGAUCCGGCGCUCAGCGCUGCCGCCGCCCUUGCCGGCAGGCACCUGCUCGUCAAGGGCGUGGUCCAUAAGAACUGCUUCGAGGUGGCCGCGAUCUAGGGCUCCCGGAGCUCGCGCGGCCGUGCUCGAGGUGGACGUCGGCGCCGCCCAAGACGAAGCUCGCCCCCAAUCUUCUUUUCUGAAGAAUUUGUACAGUUAUUUAUCUGGCCUGGUUACUUGAUCCAUUGAAUAUCUUCAGAGAUGCAUUAUUUUGUCCGCAUUGAUUUAGCUGUGAAUCACACAGAACCUUCUGCUAUCAACCGAUGGGGAUGCCAUUACAUUGAAAAUUGGCGAUUUUGGAUUUGCCCGGUGAGAGGUUUAUCCUCAGUGUUGCACUUAUAGGACAUAAAGGUAACUGAUUUAGUGUUCCUGGAUUCGAGUAAGAAGCUGGUGACCUGCUCCAAGGACAAGUUUAUCCGGGUCUGGGACCUCGACACACAACACUGCCUUCAAAUUGUUGAUGGCAAGGCCACCACACUGAGAUAUGGUCGAUGGGUGUUGAUCCUAGCGAGAAAUUUUUGGUGUCUCACUUGGACGAUCCAGAGCUGUGGGUGUUUAGAAUCAGGCAAUCAGCUGAAGAGAGUGAAGAUUGGAACAAAUGGGAUGCACUUCGUCAUUGAUCUAUUACUUUGAUUAGAUGCGGGAAGGGCAAGAGACGGAGGCUUGGAUGUGAUCAUUUUUGGAGUGGGUUAUUAAGAAGUUCUAUGAAGUUUGCUACAGAUAAUGUGAAUGCCCUUCAGACAUCACUUUUGAAGAGAAAUGUUCAGUUCUUCUAGAUGAUCCUGCUGACAAUUGGUGUUUCAACUCGGAUGGCGAAACCUCAACUUCAGAGUAAAAUUACACCUGCUGAUAAUUCACUUGCAGAUUUAUAUGUUUUAGUUUUUAACUGCUCUCGCGGUUUAAAAUAUAUCUAAUACUUCUAUUGAGUUUUUAUAAUCCACUAUUGUACGAUAUGUUUUUGUGGACAAGUUUAUUUUGGGAGCCUAAGAAAUGCAAAGGACAGGAUGUGUUAAACUUUGCUGUCAGUUCUCUCGUUUUAAAAAAUACUAAUAGGAAGCAAUUCUACUCUGAACGUUAGCUUUCUCGUAUAAAUUACGACACCUUGUGUGGAUACAUAAAUUACAAAUUAGCUGCAUGUCCGAUGGUUCGUAAGAUUGUAAGUUAACAGUUAUUCUAUUUAUAGGGUUUGCUCUGCUAGAGAUGAUAAUGUCCUCUUUAAUUAAAUUCAGCAGUGUAUAUACAAAAGGACCUGGCUGUCAAUAAUUCUCAUUUGCAAAAAUAGGUGUUCUAUUUCAGCUUCCACAUUCUGUGUUAUGAUACAUUUAAAUGACUGGAAUGUAUCAAAGUAUAGUAUGGGCAUAAUCAGUUAGACUUGGUAAGACUUUUUGGUUGCGCAACAUUAAAAAAUAUAAAUAGAUAAAUUAAUAACAUAAGCCUUGUAUGCUUCUUUGCGAGGAGCACACUAACAACUCUUUUUUUUUGUUAGUUGUCAGUUUCAUAAUUUCUAGCUUUAUACACAUUAACUGAUUUUUUAUGUAAGCACAUUAUCUAAAGUACAUAGGAAUGCAAGUGCUUAUGCUAUUUCAGUGACAAUUGUAUAAUUCACUAGAACUUGAAGUGGUCUGGUUUCUGCACAUCAAAGCAUAUUUUUUUGGAGGAUAUGAAGAAUGAAGAUACCAGAACUUAGACCAACUGAGCAUUGAGAAGAGUGGUUUAUGCACUGAUAUAUGUACCCGUGUCUCUUCUGAAUCUAUUUAAUUAAGCUGCAACUCAUGUGUGAGAGACUUGGUUUGUGCAGAUAUCGUAGAAGCUUAAUGCUGCCAAUUAGGUGUUUUAGAAGUAUGUCGUUUAAUUUUCAUAAGCACUGUACUUAUAUCUGAUUGUUGACAUGCCUACGGAAGUGCCUAAUUCUCUGUUAGGCUUUGAUUCUUAUGUUACUUUCUUACUGGGCUUGUUUUAUUUUAUUUUGGGAAAACCCAUGGUUUUAUCCUAACCCAAAAUUGCUGAGGUAGGAUAAGAGUAAUGGGAAUCCAAGCCUAAUUCUCCAUUUCAAUGUACACAAAAUUACUGAUGCAUCUCCAUUUCAAUGUACACAAAAUUCAGUUGGAGUAGACUCCAAAUCUAUGAAUCAUUCUUCCUACAAAGAGUAGAAACAGAGCCUAUCCACACAACCAGAACACUUUUUUAACUCUUAAACUUAGCAAGCAGUAACUCAUGCAGAGUAGUUCUUCAGAGCUCUAUCCAGCCUGACAUCAAAGGGAGUCGAGUACGGCUUCAGUUUUCUAUCCUGCAACACAUAAUUAAAGGAAAGUACAUCGUUCGAGAAUAUUGCUUCAUUGACAUGCAUGUUUAUUGGGCCUGCCAUCGGUUUGACGGUUUGCUCACCUCGCUUCCGUUUUGCUUACUGCAGAUUGUCAGAAGGUUGAAGGUGGAGUCGAACUCCGAGCUCGAGGUCGCGGCAGUGUAGUGGUGACUGGUCGCGCCCGAUCUAGGUAAAAUCUUCGUCUCAUUUUUGGUCCGCGUGACGAUGAUCUGUUUCUUCGGGAGUUUCUUCAGGAAGCCAGAGCCGGCUCAGGAUGCCUUCCUGGACGACGACGACAUAAUGAUGAAGCAAGUGGAGCACCGAAGGAGGAUCUCGGGGAUGAAGGAGGUGUCAGCGACGACCUCAGGCGAGAGGUAUGAGACCGCAAAUCGCUUUGCCGUUUCUAGGGAGCAGCAAAAAACUGAAUUUGUUAGUGCUUAAAAUUUAGACUGAUCUGUUUGAUAUAUCUGCACUGUCGAGGCGGUCUUCUUGAAUAGACUCUGGGUGUUUUCGCAUAGAUGGAUUAUUCAUUGUUAUGUGUUAUCACAGUUCUAGAUGAACUUGGUAGUUCGAAAGGUGAUCUGAAAUUGCUUAGGGGGCAUGUUUACUUUAAUGUAUAGUGUGGUACAGACCUAGAAGCAAUAUGUUGAAAAACUGUAACUUUCUCAUUUUGUGCUUACUUUAGUUAUGAGGAUGUAUAUGUUAGUUGAUUUUAGUGUAUUUUCAGUUUUAAAUCUUAAGCUUAUCUCCAGAACAUGCCUGAACAAUGCAUCAUCUAUUAUAUAAUAAUCAGUUUGAUGAUAGAACUGACUAUUGCAGUAUAUCUUGUUGGAGCAUAACAUGGCCUCUUGAUUUUAUUUAUCAAAAAUCCUGGUUCAUUGCAUGCUUUUGUUAUCAGAACUCUGCUUCGCCAUGUUUUAUUCUGAAAGUUAUAUGAGGUUUUAACCAAGCUGGUUUUAAAUUUAUGAGUAGGCAUGUAACGCAGGUAAUACUAGAGCUCCCAGCCUCCUCAGCUGUCAAAGAGACGCAGGUAAUACUAGAGCUCCCAGCCUCCUCAGCUGUCAAAGAGGAGGUACAGCCUGUUGAACUGAGCUGGACCUCUGCCUUGCACUGGCAGCGACGGCACCGUUCUCAAAGUGGCGGGGGCGGUGUGCCACGCCUGUGCUGGUGUCGUCGCUGGCGCUUCACCUGGACGGCAGCGAUUGGGAGCUGCCUUGCGGGUACUACGUGUUCGAGGACCACGGCGUGCAGGUCAUGUGCCUGGUGCUAGACAUGAUGGCCGGGACCAGACCGUCAUCUGCAACGACUAGCAGCAGAACACACAAGUCGUCUACGACCUCGACAGGACAUGCUGGCCUUUGUGUUGGCGCAGUGCAACAAGCUUACAGGUCACUAUAGUGUUCUUGUAGAGAGAUAGAAUUUAUAGUACUGAUCAGGUGAAAUACACAGAUGUGGAUGGUACUGAAGCAACGGUCUUUUUUUUAAUCAAUGUGCUCUUGAUUGUAAAGGUGAUAAAAAAGGCUGCUGGAUGGGCGUUGUCCUACCUCGCACCGCCCAGUCACCCUUCAGGCGGCGCGCCAUGGGCGCGCCCCAUUCACUAGUACGGUGAAAUGGUGGCAUCCUCCGGCCCCAUCUCCGUUUGCUAUCUCGUUCACUCCAAAUGACGCACACCACUCAGCUUGCCCGUUCCGGAGCAGCAAUUUUCUGCAGCCCAUGCAAGCACUCACGCAUCCAUUCAAGAGUCCGAGAACUUCUUUUUGCCAUCUAAUGAUACCCAUAAGCAUGCAUGCAAUUUCUUUAGCAUGUUCUUUUAGCAGAAUGACAUUUACUCCCUCCGUCCCAUAAUAUAAGAACGUUUAUAACACUACAGAGGGGCAGAUUACUCCCUCUGUACCGAUUUAUUUGUCAUUGGGGCAAUUCUCCGACCAGAUGAAAAGGAAAAAAAGUACGAAACUACCCCCAAUUUGAAAAACACUUGUCGCUCGGAUCGUCCUCUUCCUCCGUCGCUAUUCCCGUCCGCCAGGCUCCACCCCUCCGCUGCAGCUCCGGCGUCCGCCCCCGCCGGCCGCCUUCCUCCACUCCGAUCGAGAACCCAAGGUCCGUCCUUGCCAUACGCAUCUCCCUCGUCGUCCGCCACAGGCUCCAGCCGCCCGCGGCUCCUGCCUGUCGUGCCGCCCGUGCUCCUCCCCGCACUGACCAGCAGUAGCAGCGCAACCCGACGCCCUCCUCGAUUCAUGCACCGGAGCUCCUGAUCCGGCCAAUUGACCUCGUCGGCGAGCAGCCAGGUCGACCAGUCACUCCAAUUGAUCUCUUCCUCGCCGGCAGUCCUGCAGUCUGUGUUGAUCGCCUGAGUCUUUGCUGGAGUAGAUACUGGUUCUCCACUCUGGUUCUCCGGAUUCAUGCACAGGAGCAGUAAGUUGGUUCCACAGUCUGUGUUGGAGUACAGAAGCCAGCGCCAUCAACAGUCUGUGUUGGAGACUUGAGUACAAAUACUGCUGUGUUGAUCAACCUCUGUUGUGUUGACCAAGCUCGCUCUGCUGUGUUGGAGUACAUACAGGGAUAGGAGUAUUGAUCAAGCUCGCUCUGCUGCUCCUUCCAUCUGUCCAUCUGUCCAUCAACAGUUUGGAGUAUUGGAGCUGCCAAAACUGCAGUUAAGAAGACUUGGGUCAAUUGUGUGAACAUCAGCAACAACAAGAUCAUUAGUGUGAAAUUGACAAAUCAACAAGAGCAAGAUCAGGUACACAUGAUCAAUUGACAAAUCAGAUCUAGGCGAGCUACUCCAUUUUUACUCCUCAUGGCAUCUUGUACUCCUAAUUCAGUGUUGUUGUCACAGUGAAUUUGAAUUAAACAUGUCUUCUUCA